CGUGGAUGAUGUGGAUUAAUUCGAUGCAACGCGAAGAACCUUACCUACCCUUGACAUGUCCGGAACUUGCCAGAGAUGGCUUGGUGCCCGAAAGGGAAUCGGAACACAGGUGCUGCAUGGCUGUCGUCAGCUCGUGUCGUGAGAUGUUGGGUUAAGUCCCGCAACGAGCGCAACCCUUGUCAUUAGUUGCUACAUUCAGUUGGGCACUCUAAUGAGACUGCCGGUGACAAGCCGGAGGAAGGUGGGGAUGACGUCAAGUCCUCAUGGCCCUUAUAGGUGGGGCUACACACGUGCUACAAUGGUCGCUACAGAGUGACGCGAAGCCGCGAGGUGGAGCAAAUCGCAGAAAAGCGACCUUAGUUCGGAUUGGAGUCUGAAACCCGACUCCAUGAAGGUGGAAUCGCUAGUAAUCGCGCAUCAGCAUGGCGCGGUGAAUACGUUCCCGGGCCUU
rnacentral:rRNA from 1 species